rnacentral:rRNA from 1 species
GAGCAGUGAGGAAUAUUGGUCAAUAGCCUAACGGCUGAACCAGCAACUUGGAGGAAUGUAUGGCGAAAGCUGGUUGUAUUAACUAUUAGUUGAUACAACAUCGACUAUGUCGAAUAAAAUUCUAGAUAGAGUUAUGAUAAUGACAUUUUCUAUCUAUGUGUCUUGACCAAAUCACGUGCCAGCCGUCGCGGUAAUACGUGGGAGACUAGUGUUAUUCAUCUUUAAUAGGUUUAAAGGGUACUUAGACGGUCCAUUAAGCCCCAAAGGGUACUAAGAGACUAGAGUUUGAUGAGAGGGGGGGAGUACUAGAGAGUGUAGAGAUGAAAUUCUGUCAUACCUUACUUGGAACAGGCAACGGCGAAAGCAACCCCUUAUGUAAAAACUGACGUUGAAGGACGAAGGA